GAUGAACGCUGGCGGCGUGCCUAAUACAUGCAAGUCGAGCGAACAGAUGAGGAGCUUGCUCCUCUGACGUUAGCGGCGGACGGGUGAGUAACACGUGGAUAACCUACCUAUAAGACUGGGAUAACUUCGGGAAACCGGAGCUAUUACCGGAUAAUAUAUUGAACCGCAUGGUUCAAUAGUGAAAGGCGGUUUUGCUGUCACUUAUAGAUGGAUCCGCGCCGCAUUAGCUAGUUGGUAAGGUAACGGCUUACCAAGGCAACGAUGCGUAGCCGACCUGAGAGGGUGAUCGGCCACACUGGAACUGAGACACGGUCCAGACUCCUACGGGAGGCAGCAGUAGGGAAUCUUCCGCAAUGGGCGAAAGCCUGACGGAGCAACGCCGCGUGAGUGAUGAAGGUCUUCGGAUCGUAAAACUCUGUUAUUAGGGAAGAACAAAUGUGUAAGUAACUAUGCACGUCUUGACGGUACCUAAUCAGAAAGCCACGGCUAACUACGUG
rnacentral:rRNA from 1 species